UACGUAGGGGGCAAGCGUUGUCCGGAUUUACUGGGCGUAAAGAGCGUGUAGGCGGCCAAGCAGGUCCGUUGUGAAAACUGGAGGCUUAACCUCCAGACGUCGACGGAAACCGCGUGGCUAGAGUCCGGAAGAGGAGAGUGGAAUUCCGUGGUGUAGCGGUGAAAUGCGCAGAUAUCAGGAAGAACACCAAUGGCGAAGGCAGCUCUCUGGGACGGUACUGACGCUGAGACGCGAAAGCGUGGGGAGCGAACAGG
rnacentral:rRNA from 1 species